rnacentral:rRNA from 1 species
UUCCUACGGGAGGCAGCAGUAAGGGAUAUUGCACAAUGGGCGCAAGCCUGAUGCAGCAACGCCGCGUGCGCGAUGAAGGCCUUCGGGUCGUAAAGCGCUUUUCUGGCUGAAGAGGAAGGACAGUAAGCCAGGAAGAAGUGUCGGCUAACUACGUGCCAGCAGCCGCGGUAAAACGUAGGACGCAAGCGUUAUCCGGAGUUACUGGGCGUAAAGCGCGGGCAGGCGGCUUGUCAAGUGGAUUGUGAAAGCGCCCGGCUUAACCGGGCGAGGCCAGUCCAGACUGAUGAGCUGGAGGGCAGUAGAGGUAGGCGGAAUUCCGGGUGGAGUGGUGAAAUGCGUAGAGAUCCGGAGGAACACCAGAGGCGAAGGUGGCCUACUGGGCUGCACCUGACGCUGAGCCGCGAAAGCUAGGGGAGCGAACGGGAUUAGAAACCCCGGUAGUCCUAGCCGUAAACGAUGUCUGCUGGGUGUCGGGGCGAAUGCUUCGGCGCCGAAGCCAACGCGAUAAGCAGACCGCCUGGGGAGUACGGCCGCAAGGCUAAAACUCAAAGGAAUUGACGGGGGCCCGCACAAGCAGCGGAGCGUGUGGUUUAAUUCGAGGCAGCUCAAAGAACCUUACCUAGGCUUGACAUAC